GUAACACGUAUGCAACCUACCCUUUACUGGGGCAUAGCUCAGAGAAAUCUGAAUUAAUUCCCCAUAAUACAAUUGAAUGGCGUCAUUUAAUUAUUAAAGCUGAGGCGGUAAAGGAUGGGCAUGCGUUGCAUUAGCUAGUUGGUGAGGUAAUGGCUCACCAAGGCUACGAUGCAUAGGGGUUCUGAGAGGAUGAUCCCCCACGCUGGUACUGAGACACGGACCAGACUCCUACGGGAGGCAGCAGUAGGGAAUAUUGGUCAAUGGACGCAAGUCUGAACCAGCCAUGCCGCGUGCAGGAAGACGGCCCUCUGGGUUGUAAACUGCUUUUAUAUAGGAAGAAACCUCAUUAUGCGUAAUGAACUGACGGUACCAUAUGAAUAAGGAUCGGCUAACUUCGUGCCAGCAGCCGCGGUAAGACGAAGGAUCCAAGCGUUGUCCGGAUUUACUGGGUUUAAAGGGUGCGUAGGCGGAAUUUUAAGUCAGUGGUGAAAGCCCUUCGCUCAACGAAGGAACUGCCAUUGAAACUGAAAUUCUUGAAUACGGUUGAGGUAGAUGGAAUAUAACAUGUAGCGGUGAAAUGCUUAGAUAUGUUAUAGAACACCGAUUGCGAAGGCAGUCUACUAAGCCGUGAUUGACGCUGAGGCA
rnacentral:rRNA from 1 species